GCAGUAUUGCGCUUGCUACAGUAAGCCUCCCUGCGUGUGGUAAAAAUCAAUGUAUUACUUGCGUGUAUGUUCUGUACUGAAAUUGCGGGUGGUAGGUUGUGCGAGUUUGUGUUCUUCCUGACCGGCAUCUAAAAAUUCUUAUUUACUAUUGAGUUAGCUUAACUAAAGAUACAGUAACUCUAAGAGCCUCCCCAGCUAACAUUAAUAAUUCAGUAGGACUUUACUGUAUCAUACUAACGUCACUCCACGUUACCAGAAUCAAUGUCUGCUUUUCUUGUCAGCAGAUGAUGGGUGAGGAUAGUGCCACAUACAUAAAGCAGAGGGUGAAGAGGUUGAGACAAACAGAGUAGCAGAGCAUUAUAUAGAGUUCCAAGAACGUCUGCCAGCCAGGGCAAGUAGCUGUUUUAUAUGCUGCGAAGUGGUGGGAACAGCAGCAGCACUCAUGACUGCCCUCACCAGCACUAACAGAAUCAGCCAGAGGCUGGCUGAAAUUAUACACAUGUGGAAUGUUGAAACAAAGGAAAGGAAUGCUCUGUUAAGUGUGCUGUUCACAAAUUAAUGAGUUACAUGGAUGUCGGCCAAGCAAGUGCUACGUGUGCGGAGGAGCAGUUGGUGCAACAGGCUCACCCCUGAUGGCCUGUACUGGAACCACAAAAAUGCGACUAUAUCAGAGACUGGCAAAAAUAGACAUUCUGGACAUCGCCAUAGAGCAAGCCGGAAUGCUGUGCCUAGUGUGCUGAGCCAGUAUUAAUAAAAUGCAUGAGCACGAAA